rnacentral:rRNA from 1 species
GACGAACGCUGGCGGCGUGCUUAACACAUGCAAGUCGAACGAAAAGGCCCCUUUGGGGCUACUCGAGUGGCGAACGGGUGAGUAACACGUGCGUAUCCUGCCCUUGACUUUGGGAUUACUUCAGGUAAGUGGGGCCAAUACCGCAUCGGAAUCCUUUUUGCAUCGGGGUGGUUGGAUAGUUUCGGCGGUUUUUGCUGGCAUCUCUGGUUAUCCGCUUGUUGUUGUGGUUGUGGGUUACCGAGGCUUCUUCGGGUAGCCGGCCUGCGUGGGCGACCGGCCACAUAGGGACUGAGAGACGGCCCAGACAGCUACGGGAGGGAGAAGGGGGGAAGAUUGAACAAGGGGCGGAAGGCUGAUGAAGCAACGCCGCGGGCGGGAUGACGGCCUUAGGGGUGUAAACCGCUUUCAGCAGGGGCGAAGCUUGUGGUGACGGUACCUGCAGAAGAAGCACCGGCUAACUACGUG